rnacentral:rRNA from 1 species
UGGGGAAUAUUGCACAACGGGCGCAAGCCUGAUGCAGCCAUGCCGCGUGUAUGAAGAAGGCCUUCGGGUUGUAAAGUACUUUCAGCGGGGAGGAAGGCGAUAAGGUUAAUAACCUUGUCGAUUGACGUUACCCGCAGAAGAAGCACCGGCUAACUCCGUGCCAGCAGCCGCGGUAAUACGGAGGGUGCAAGCGUUAAUCGGAAUUACUGGGCGUAAAGCGCACGCAGGCGGUCUGUCAAGUCGGAUGUGAAAUCCCCGGGCUCAACCUGGGAACUGCAUUCGAAACUGGCAGGCUAGAGUCUUGUAGAGGGGGGUAGAAUUCCAGGUGUAGCGGUGAAAUGCGUAGAGAUCUGGAGGAAUACCGGUGGCGAAGGUGGCCCCCUGGACAAAGACUGACGCUCAGGUGCGAAAGCGUGGGGAGCAAACA